GGCUGGGCUCCGCGCAACGCCAACCUGCCAAUCCCGCCAGGACCGGAAGGUAGCAACGGUACGUAGGCCCUGGCAUGUGCCGCGGGAACCCUGGCCCUC
rnacentral:SRP_RNA from 1 species